AUUGAACGCUGGCGGCAGGCCUAACACAUGCAAGUCGAACGAGUGGCGGACGGGUGAGUAUUGUCUGGGAAACUGUCUGAUGUAGGGGGAUAACUACUGGAACCGGUAGCUAAUACCGCAUCCCAUCUGAUGUUCCCAGAGGGGAUUAGCUCGGGGUUGGGGUAACGGCUCACCCAGGCGACGAUCCCUAGCUGGUCUGAGAGGAUGACCAGCGCCACUGGAACUGGGAAACGGUCCAGACUCCUACGGGAGGCAGCAGUGGGGAAUAUUGCACAAUGGGCGCAAGCCUGAUGCAGCCAUGCCGCGUGUAUGAAGAAGGCCUUCGGGUUGUAAAGUACUUUCAGCGGGGAGGCGUUACCCGCAGAAGAAGCACCGGCUAAAUCCGUGCCAGCAGCCGCGGUAAUAC
rnacentral:rRNA from 1 species